rnacentral:rRNA from 1 species
ACUCCUACGGGAGGCAGCAGUGGGGAAUAUUGCGCAAUGGGGGAAACCCUGACGCAGCAACGCCGCGUGAAUGAUGAAGGCCUUAGGGUUGUAAAGUUCUGUCUUCUGGGACGAUAAUGACGGUACCAGAGGAGGAAGCCACGGCUAACUACGUGCCAGCAGCCGCGGUAAUACGUAGGUGGCAAGCGUUGUCCGGAUUUACUGGGCGUAAAGGAUGCGUAGGCGGAUAUUUAAGUCAGAUGUGAAAUACCCGGGCUCAACUUGGGUGCUGCAUUUGAAACUGGAUAUCUAGAGUGCGGGAGAGGUAAGUGGAAUUCCUAGUGUAGCGGUGAAAUGCGUAGAGAUUAGGAAGAACACCAGUGGCGAAGGCGACUUACUGGACCGUAACUGACGCUGAGGCAUGAAAGCGUGGGGAGCAAACAGGAUUAGAUACCCUGGUAGUC